rnacentral:rRNA from 1 species
GACGAACCGUGCGAACGUUGUUCGGAUUCACUGGGCUUAAAGGGCGCGUAGGCGGGUUAUCAAGUCAGGGGUGAAAUCUUUCGGCUUAACCGGAAAAUGGCCUCUGAUACUGGUAGUCUUGAGGGAGGUAGGGGCAGGUGGAACUUCCGGUGGAGCGGUGAAAUGUGUUGAUAUCGGAAGGAACGCCGGUGGCGAAAGCGACCUGCUGGAUCUCUUCUGACGCUGAGGCGCGAAAGCUAGGGGAGCGAACGGG